GCAUUUUAUUCAGCUCCUGAUUAUGUCAAGACUUUACUAGCAUCAGAGAUCUGUGGUUUCUACUCUUAAGGACUCCACAGUUUACACGGAAUGAUAAAUGUGUAAAUAAGUAAUUUAUACGUGCUAUUUUCUUAAAAAAUUUUUUAAAUAUUUAUUUUUGAGAGAGACAGAGCGUGAGCAGGAGAGGGGCAGAGAGAGAGGGAGACACAGAAUCUGAAGCAGGCUCCAGGCUCUGAGCUGUCAGCAGAGAGCCCGACAUGGGACUUGAACUCAUGAGCUGCAAGAUUGUGACCUGAGCCCAAGUUGGACACUCAACGGACUGAGCCACCCCAACACAUUCUUUUCGAGAAAUCCACAAGAAAGGGCUGUGGAUGGCCAUCUGAAAAUACCCAAGUCUCCUGUGUGAGACACGAAAGAUGGGAGACAGCAAGCCUGUGGAGACUUGGGACCAGAGCAAGAGAACACAUGAGAAGUGAGCAGCCCAUGUACAGGACCGCUGGAGUUCUGGAAGGAUGCAGCUGUAUCUCAGAGGAUGGCUGGUGUGGGGGACAGUAUCUUGGGUGGAUACAGGACAGAGCUCAUCUGAAGCAGCAGGUCAUAAGGGUGGCAGAGCAAACCACUGAGAAUACAUAGGUUACCCAGCCCACAACACCAAGUUGGCAAGUGUAACAGUGGCCAGUCAGUGUGACAGCCCUCUCCCUACUGGAACAAAGACCAACCAGGGACAAGAAGAAAGAGGGAGAAGGAACUCUUGAUUGUGACUCGCUUAUAGCGGAUGAUAGCUGGGAGAUCACUGAAUUUAACUGUGUUUACCCCCAAAAUAAUUACAUUAACUUUUCUGUAUCUGUUUGAAUGAGGACUCAAGAUAGGAAGUCAGGCUAGAAACAGGAAAAGUAAAGAAAGGUACUUUUUUGUCCACCCGAGUCUGUGUUUUAUGAAAUGAACAGGCGUUAGUUACAUUAGCUUUUAUUUGUGAUUAUUGAGUAUUAAUAUUAUGCCAACUACUUUACACAUAUCAUCUCAU
rnacentral:lncRNA from 1 species